AAUGCCCCUGGGUCUAACCCCUAGUACCAAAAAAAGGGGGGGGGGAGCUAGUCAAGAAGGAAGAAUGAUCACAGAUAUUCCUUGACUUGGGGCAGGAUCACUUCCUGGUAGGAGCACUGUACAGUGACUCCUGUGUCAAGGUGCAGCAAACAGUCCUGAACUACUGAACAUCACAGCCUAGCGACAGCGUGACUGGAAUGUCAGUGUCCACCGUGGCCUAGGUGACUACCUGGGCGGAGCGGCUGCUGCCACUGCGGAACAUCCAUCGUGGGGGAGUGUGUGGCCACAUCUAGCCCAAGAGAAGAUCCACAUUGAAAGUUCCAAAUAGGGUUUUCCAUCCAGUGUACCAUUGUGAAGUUGGAAGAUCCUAAGAGGGACCAUCUGUUUUUCCAAAGCAGUGGGACAGCUAUUUAAAAGUCAAUAAAACCUAGCUGGAGUGAAUACCUCCCUAACUUAGCAAGAAGCACGGAUGACAUCAUGCUGUGGAAUAAAGGCAGUGAGAGCACAUGUUCCUAUCUGCCUUUGGAGAUCAGCUGUCAGGUGGAUCAUGGAUACACCCAGGUCCUGACCUUUCUGGUUCUUUUGUAGUGUAGUUUACUUUAGUGAUGUGUUAGGAGUCCUUUCUUAAUUUUGCCGGGCUUUUAGCAAGACAUGGAAUAACAUUAAAGUGAAUUAGUAAAACACAAAUAAAUUGUUUUAAAAAUGUAGGACUGUGAACUCCUUAUCCAAAUUAAGAAGCUGUUUGAAAUAAUUAAGCUUGUCUUGAUUAUUCACUACCAUUUUCUAAUUUUAACAUUUUAUACUCAUUUACUUCAUUUUCUUUCAAGGCAAAAGGGACUCUAGAUCCCAAUACCCUGCCCAUAGACCCACGCAACACUUCCUUUCAUUUCUCCUGACUGUUCGGUUAACUUCUCAAAGCCGCCUUCCUCACCAAAUGGGGUGAAGAAGACACAGUCCACCAUUUGGUGACCACGCUAUCCUGUUGACUGGAUGAGAGAGUUGUUCACCUCUACCGGUUUUCUUUGUUCUCAGUAGUUGUAGAAUUUAAACUAGUUUUAAUGAAGUUUCCUUUUAUGAAAUUUCAGGUAAAAGCCCGAAUGUAUAGCAAAAAGCAUGUAAAUAACCUACAAAACCUGACAUAUCAGGUCUCACAGUAUCUUCUUGGUCAGAUAUCUAAUAAAAAGUUAGAUGGUUAUUUUCAAAAUUAUCAUAGUUCUUGACACUUGCACUUUUUAGCUGUAUUUCUGAGCAUAUGUAGACUGCAUAUUGUUAUACUUAAUGCAAAUUAAACUUUUUAUUUUGAGAGGUUUUUUUUUUUAGUUCUUUGCGGUUUUCUCCCUCUUUUACCUGAGUUCAGUCUUUUUGUGUUGGGAGUCUCCCCACCCCUGCCCCAGUUGCCUUGUGCUCAUCCUGUAGCACAGGAGAAUGCCAAACCUCAGCAAGCAUUCAGGCCAGACCCUAGAUUUCAGAGAGCCACAGGGAUAUAGCUCAGUUGAUAGAGUGCUUACCUUGCAUGCACAAGGCCCUGGGUUCGAUCCCCAGCACCAAAAAAAAAAGAAAAAGAAAAAUUCAGAGAGCCCGUGCACGUCAGCACAUGCUUAAGUGAAUUUUAAUGAAGCACAUCUAAACCAAGGUAGCAAAGCUGGGGACUCUGUUCCCAGAUCCCACAUGGGGUCUUGAGGGACUCAUGGUGAAUGCCUUAAAACUAUCUGUGCCCUACUUCUUUAUAGGCCCCUCCCUCUCAGUUUAUACCCACCCUGUCGUAAGUUUCCUAUUGGUGAUUCCAGUGAACUUUCAAGAAAUAAUACUAUGCUGUGUUAAAGGCUCCCAGGAUGGAUCUCCACAGCCCAUCUUGAUAAGCUUUGUCAUUUUAAAGUGCUAGGUGAGGUGUCCUACUGGAUGUAUUUGAAAAUCCUCUCGUGUGCCUUAAGCCCUUUGGUUGGUCCUUCAUAGAGAGUCUGACCUUAUAAAUCAAUAUAAUUGUAGAAUCAAACUAAAAUGGUUCAAUUUUGUAUUUUACAUUAGAAUAUGUUCUAAUACAAAUGUUGAAAUAUGAAUACAUGUUAAAAUAUGUUGAAGUUCAACUUAGCUAUGUUGGGCAAGUUUUCUCUGAGCCCCCAAAUGGGAUAUGUAAUGAGAAUAUUUAAUAUCAGGACCAGUGCAGAGUCUGAGAUGGAGGUUUACCCUAUGUAGUUCAGUUUUUCAACCUGAAACCUAACCUAAGGCUAGUUGUUACUUUCAGUGACCACCCCCACCCAUCUCUGCCAUUUCCCAUCUCAAACCACUGAUCAAGUUUGACCUAGGAUUCCAUAUCGAAUAUUUUAUAAUGAAUGGACCGCUGUGUAUUUGAAAAUCUAUCGUGUUGAGGUUGGCAAACCACUGUAACAACAAUCCUCAAAUCUCAUUGAUUGAAUACAUUUGAAGUUUAUUUCCUGUUUGUGUAAAUUCAGUAUUACCUAAGUUUACAUCCAGAUGUAAGGACCUGGCUCUUUGGUCUUGUGGCUGUGCCAUCCUCCAAGGCUGUGGAGCCCUGUGGCCCACCUUCUGCGCUCAGUCAAUCCAUAGGAGAAGAGAGGGAGGCAGGGAUGUUAAUGCUGGCCAAGGCUGGCCUGAUACACCCAAUGCUUUCUGCUCCUGUCCACAUGGCUUCCUAUGUCACCGGCCCCUGUGAGCAUCAAGGGAGACUCAGAAGCUGGGUGUGGCCAUGUGUGCUGGAGGAAGGGGACCAUUCAGGUGAGCACUGAGAGUUGACAUGAAUUAUCCAUAGCCUUUAAACAUGGUGGUCUUCUAGUAUUAAACAGUAGCGGCAAUUAAUUCUUUCUGUUGAUGUCUCUUAAAUGUUACUUUAGUUUUUAUUCUGUUAGGACAGUCUGUUAAAAUCAUAACACCUAAUUGUAAGAGAGACUUUUGGAGAGUGUAGUUUUCAGGAAGUUGGUUCUUUCCAUGCUUCUGAGAAGCUUAACAUGUUUCCAGUGUGGCAUAAUUUGUAGGAAGACCAAAAUUCACAACCCCUAGAAUUCCUUUCAUUCAAAGAACUCUCAGACAAUCAAAUCCACCCAGAAUCUGCUUGAUUUUGAGAUUUAAUUACAAAUAUUGAUAAUAUAAACAUUCUAUUGUUAUGGAUUCUUUAACCCCUGGCCCUCCCCAGCCCUUAGCAAUGGCAAUGGUGAAUCAUGGUGGCUUCUGUAGCAGUUGUGCAUCUGGUAGCCUUCACCCCAGCUGCCUGCCCUAUCCCUAUCUGAAGCAGGGAUGGUCCUCAGUGAGAAGUUAAACCCUCCUCGACUGAGCACUCCUGUCCUAGAAAUACAGCCCCACCCCGCAGUGGGCAAUCCGGCACGGUCUGCACUUUUGAUUGCAAACAAACUCUUCUGCCAUCUAACUCUAUGAACUACUUCCCAGGGUUGGUUUUUUUUGUUUGUUUUGUAUCAGAAUUUCUUUUAAUUCUAAGAUGCAUUGGGGUUUUCUUUUUACAUUUUGACCUGUCUGAAAGUAGAAUGUGUUUUACAAUCAAUAGAAGCAAUGGCAGCAUAUUUUUCUUAAUGGUCCCUAAAUUAAUAAGACACCCUAUAUGUGACAGUGUCUUUCUUGGAUUUAAUAAAUUAUGAUAUUAAUGUAUGGCAUGGUCACAUUCAGUUGUAUCUUUAGCAAUAUAAUGGGUUAAUGGUGACUCAUGAUCAGCUGAUCGUUCAAAUUCAACUUUUUAUGCUAAGUAUUUUAUCAGUUAUUUGUCAUUCUGCAUUCAUUUAGAUAUUUGAAGUAUCAUUAUACGUUUAUUAUAAUAAAAUACCUGUGUGCCUGACAAUAUUCUUAGACAUUUAUACAUACGUGCUAAUUUAGUUUUCAUGACAAUCUUAUAACAAUAGUCAUGACUAUGCUCAAUUCAUUUUUGAGAAACUGAGACACAAAGAGGGUUAAAUGGUUUUGCAAAGUCACACAGCUCCUAAGUGGUAGAGCCAGGAUUCAGGCCCAAGCAGUGUAGCUACAUAAUGCCCACUCUUGAGAAAAUAUUUGUUCUUAAUGUUCUUUACCAGUUAUGGAAAAGUCAAUUCUUACAUAUUCCCACGAUAUAUUUGAAUUUUAGUUUUAUUUGUUAUAACAUCACCAGCAGCAUUAUCUACUUGUUUUAAAAUAGGGUUUGGCAAUAAUAAGGAUUGGAGAGGGUGUGGGGGAAAGGAGCACUCUUAUACUGUUCAUGAAAUUGUCAAUUAGACAGGCGCUAGGGAAUCAGUGUGGAGGUUCCUCAAAAGACUAAGCGUGGAACCACCAGCUGUGUCACUCCUUGGUGCUUAUCCUGAAGAAUUAAAGUCAUCUUCCUACAGUGAUACAUGCAUAACCAUGUUUAUAGCAGCACGAUUCCCAAUAGUCAAACUAUGGAACCAGCCUAGGUGACCAUCAACACAUAAAUGGAUAAAUAAAAUGUGGUAUAUUUGUACAAUGGAGUUUUAAUCAGCCAUAAAGAAAAAUUAAGUCCUUUGCAGUAAAGUGAUAAAACUUGAGAACAUUGUGUUAGGCAAAGUAAGUCAAACUCAGAAGGUCAAGGAUCCCGUUUUCUCUCAUAUGUGAAAGCUAGAGAGGAAAAGAAAGCAGGGGGUGAGGGUGGGAGGAUAUCAUGAAAAUCAAAGGGAGAUCAGGAAAGGAAUUGGACUGGGGCGAAAGGAGGGGAGGGAAGGGGAAAUAUUGGAGAAUGAUAUUGGCCAAACUAUAUUGCUGUAUUGUGUGCAUGUAUGAAGAUGUAACAACAAGUCUCACUAUUAUGUACAACUAUAAUGCACCAAUAAAAAUAUGGAAAAAAUAGAAAUAGGCUUUGGGUUUUCUCAAAGGGUUGUUUUAGAAAAGUCUCUUAAAAAUUUACAGCCAUGGGCUGGGGCUGAGGCUCAGCGAUGGAGCGAUGGAGCUCAAGCCCUGGGCUUGAGCCUCAGCACCACAUAAGAAGGAGUAAAUAAAAUAAAGGUGCUGUGUCCAACUACAACUAAAACAUAAAUAUUUUUAAAAAAUUAUAGCCAUGUAAAUUACAUUUAUAGAGAAAAGGAAUCUUGAUAUUUUUAACACCAAACAUCUUUGUCCCUACCAAUUAUUUUGGAACAUUUAAUUUUUGAUUAAAAAAGUAAUGACUAUAUUUUUAUGUCCCUCAUCCCACUAUUAUUCAUGGAUUAAACUACUAUUUAAAGUUUGUGCAUAAUGCUGAAUAUAUUUAUUGUCUACGCAGUCUUACUGUUGUCUGGCUCUCCUACACCUGCCCUUUAUCAUGCCCAUUUGUCAGUAUGGUGUGUGAGAUUAUAAUCCUAAAUGUCACUGUAUGUAUUCUCUUUACGCUUUACUAUUGAACAAUAUUAGUGCUCAAUAAAUGUUAAUAGAUAAUAUCUACUUAAAAAUCA
rnacentral:lncRNA from 1 species